UACGGAGGGUGCGAGCGUUAAUCGGAAUUACUGGGCGUAAAGGGUGCGUAGGUGGUUGUAUAAGUUAUCUGUAAAAUCCCUGGGCUCAACCUGGGCAGGCCAGAUAAGACUGUACGACUCGAGUAUGGGAGAGGGUAGUGGAAUUUCCGGUGUAGCGGUGAAAUGCGUAGAGAUCGGAAGGAACACCAGUGGCGAAGGCGGCUACCUGGCCCAAUACUGACACUGAGGCACGAAAGCGUGGGGAGCAAACAGG
rnacentral:rRNA from 1 species